AACGAACGCUGGCGGCAUGCCUAACACAUGCAAGUCGAACGAGACCUUCGGGUCUAGUGGCGCACGUGUGCGUAACGCGUGGGAACCUGCCCUUAGGUUCGGAAUAACUCCCCGAAUGGGGUUCUAAUACCGGAUAAUCUCUUCGGACCAAAGAUUUAUCGCCUUUGGAUGGGCCCGCGUUGGAUUAGCUAGUUGGUAGGGUAAAAGCCUACCAACGCGAGGAUCCAUAGCUGGUCUGAGAGGAUGCUCAGCCACACUGGGACUUAGACACGGCCCAGACUCCUACGGGAGGCAGCAGUAGGGAAUAUUGGACGAUGGGCGAAAGCCUGAUCCAGCAAUGCCGCGUGAGUGAUGAAGGCCUUAGGGUUGUAAAGCUCUUUUACCCGGGAUGAUAAUGACAGUACCGGGAGAAUAAGCUCCGGCUAACUCCGUG
rnacentral:rRNA from 1 species